AUUCUAGCUAUUAAAAUUUUUCAUAGGAUAGUAGGUGAUUUUUUUUCUUUAUUUUCUGUAUUUUUCAAAUAUUCUUGGCAAUUUUUUCUCCUAUGCUCCUUCCUGCACACUGAGCCAAUAGUUUUUUUAAACAAGGAAAGCUUUGACAAAGGCUAACUGUACUAAAUUAGCUCAAUGUAAAUUUGGGAGUUUGUUCUCUUGUGAUUAUGGGGUCCACAGCUGCCACUUUCUUAAAGUAAAAGAAUCAGUACACAGGUUAAGUCCAAUCACAAUUUAGAAAAGCACAAGGUAGACUGGAAGGUGUGGAAAAGAGGACUUUGACACAUAAGAGGACUUUGACAGAGACUUUUUAUUACCAUAUUAACAAACUGAAUUACAGUCAGGACUUUCUAACGCACCCUCGAUUGUAAUCUCAACUUCAUGUGGAAAUCUGGAUAAAUCACAACCUCUCUGGGAUGUCUCUGUAUCUACAAACCAGGAAGGCAGAAUAGAUGACAAUAAUAUUUUAAGAGUUCUACCUUUAAGCCCCUUGUAACAGUAAUGAUCUGAGAAAUCUACAAUAUUAGAAGUACUUAAAUUUUAAAACAAUAAAAAUAAAUUUUAAACAAUUUUUUUGCCUUUAAAUCUACCAACUUAUAGAAAAUACAGGAGCAGAGAAACAUGUUAAAUGAUAGCUCAAAAAUGUAAUCAGGAAAAAACCAAACUAGGAAACAAAUGACCGUUUUCUUCAACAAAUACAAUUUAGUAAGGAAAAAGGGAGAGAGGGAAACCUACAGAAUUUUUUUAAAAGAUUUAAAAGAUACAGCAAUACAAUUUUUUAAGAAACAAUUGGGGAAAUGGGAAACACAAGAUAUUUGAUUUUAAGGAAUUAUUCAUAUUUUAAAAUAAUGACCUUUAAAAGAAUCUUAAUCUUUUAGAAAUACACAAUAUACAUGUAUAUCUACCUACCUAUAUAAAUGACACAAUGUUUCACAUUACAACAUAAUUGAGGGAGUAGAAAUGAAACAACAUUGGCUAUGAAUUGAUAAUUAUUUAAAGUAAGUGACCAGGAUGAAAAGGUACACAAUAUUCUUCUCCAUAUGUUUCCAUGUUUUAAAAUUUCUUCCAUAAUGAAAAGAUUUUUUAUUUGUAUUUAUUAUUUUAGAGACAGGGUCUCACUCCAACGUCCAGGCUGGAGUACAGUGGCAUGAUCAUAGCUCACUGAAGCUUCGACCUCCUAGCUCAAGCGAUCCUCUCACCUCAGCCUCCCCAAUAGCAGGGAAUACACACGUGUGUGCCACCAUGCCUGGCUAAUUUUUUAAUUUAUUUUUUUGUAGAGACAGGUCUUACAACGUUGUCCAGGCCCACCCAACACUGUCCACUGCACCAAGCCAAAAAGAUUUUUAAAAGAAUGCUUAUAAAUAAAAUCACUUACAUGAGAUAAACAUUAAUAAAAAAUUACAACCUUUACCCCUCUAAUUAAUAGAAGCAGGUUAAAAACUGUAGUUUACAAUCCAUCAGUAUGGUUGUA
rnacentral:lncRNA from 1 species